UACUUUUUUUAAAGUUUUUCUUAUAAAAAAAUUUAUGUUGUGCAACCAUAGUGCAGAUUACAAGAUGGAAAACCUGUCUUCCCCGAGUCACAGAGCAAAUCACUUCUUGUUUCAUGUCGCGGGGCCUCCCAAUGCCAGCUGCCUUCUUCCUUGCACAGACGAUUCCUGCUCCUUCUGAUCACCCUCUUUGCUUCAGGGAAACUCCACUUACUUCAUUUUACACCCAGCCAGCGAUCCUCCUCGGUUUUUGCUGUCAUCCACAUCUCCUGGGAGGUGGGCUGCACACAGUCUGGGCUCCCGCAGCCUUUAUUUGAUCAGCCCCUGGGGCAUGACUCGCCUGUAGGAGCACAAGCUGAGGCCUUGGUGAGCCCUGCAGUGCUGCCCCUCUGACACGUUAAGGCACUGGGUACAGCAGUUUCCAGUGCCAGCCACAGUGAAGAGGCUCAGGGCAGUGCUUCAGCGCAGGGCAAGUCAGUGCCCAGGAAGGGACAGCCACAGUUAUGGCAUCUUCUGAGCGACAGUGGGAAGCUAGGUCAUUAUUGGUAUUUUUGUUUGACUAUAAUUAUGAGGGUUUCUUUUUUAAAAAAAUUAGGUGGCCAUUAUUCAUUUCAGUGGGAAACCUAGUUGUACAGACUGUAAAGCCAGGAAACGAAGGUGGUGUCAGGUCCACAUGGGGGCAGCAGGACAUGGGGCGUUUCAUCAGUUCCAGAUAAGCAACAGCCUCUUUUUGCAUGUUGGGUCGUUUGCUGGUUCUUUGUGCACCUCCCUCACUGGAGUGGAAGUUCCACGAAAACAAUCCCCAAGGCUGCUUUGUUCCCAUUUGCAACCUUAGGGGUUCCAGGCACAUACAGACACAUUAAUAUUUGUUGAUAGAAGAGGAAGGGAGGAAAGGGGGAAGGAGAGAGGGAGGGAAGGAGAAAAGAAUAGUAUCCAUAUCUGGCUGACUUUUACUACAGGUGAUUUUUGCUUCCGAGGUGCAAAAUGUAACCCUGUUUUUACAUGUCCAGUGCUCUCAAGUCAUUUCCAGGACCCACCUCCCACCUGCCUUUCCCUCUACACUCCUGUCUCGACCAUAUUCCCAGACUCACUGCAAACUCCAGCUGUUGCAGUGUGUGGAGACUGAGGAGUCAACCAGCUGAUGAACAAACCCAUCUGUGCUCGCAGCAGAAUGCCAGAACUUCCUAGUAGUAAGGACACUUUAGGGAGACUUACAGCGAUAAGGGACACUCCUUGUUUCUGUCAAGCUAUUAGAAACUCCAGCUUUGCCAGUUCCAGACUUGCCGAAGGCUCCAGCUCAGCAACUGUGACCCCUGUGGCGAAGCAGGGCCCCUGGGUAGGGUUGCCUCCUCCUGCGCUGAGCGCACCACCCAGGAUAUUUGAUAUGACUGGUAUUGUGGAUUACCUUUAGCAUUUCCUUUAAGCUGAAGAGGAGCUAAAGGAAGUAACGGUAAUACAGUUCAUUAAAUUUAAAAAGACAGAAGACUCUGCAGAAGGAGUUUGGAUUCUUGCCCUGAUGCAAAUGUUGCAAAAAUACCUUUUGUCCCCAAAUUCCUUCUCCUUGUGUCAAGAUGUACCCACACAAUGGAGAUCUGAGAUGUAAAGGUAAAAACUGCUGAAUUAAGGCAAGCUUGUUCCCGCUACCUACCAUUAGGAAAUGCAGCCUGCUAAGCACAAAGGAAUGACUUGCAGAGAGCACUUCAGCCAGGGACAGUGUGACUUUUCCUUAGGACACACCAAUGAGAAGUGACGGAAGCAGCAUGGUGCAGAGGAAGUUGAGCUGUGACGCAGCUUCAACGCAGCUUCAACACAAGCCGUGGCUGUCUACAGUUACUUCAGAUCUUUUCAGCCCUGUCACUAGUCACUGGAAGCAGUUGCCUCAGGAGAGGGGACUGUUCCCUGGGGCAAGGCAGCACCCUGCAGCCAAGAGCAAUUCCCAGAGAUUCAGGGAAAGUCUGAGCAGUCCCCAGGCUCCACCCUGGAAGGGGUCUGGGUGGUACCCUGCACUUCUCAGUCUGCCCUCGCACCCCUCCCAUAGACCUGGGCCAUAGAGGAAGCCCAGGAAACACUCGUCCAUUCCUGUUGGCCCUCACUGCUGCAGCUUGUCUCAAGGUGCAGAUGACACUGUCACCUUCUUCCACUGCUACCCAAGGUAGAUUUGCCUCACCCCAGCGACACGGCAAUGAAAGUGGUCCUGCUAAAGGCUUGGUGGACCAGAGAAGCAAUUCUGUCUCCUACCUGGUCGAUCAUGGUACGCUGCUCAAAGCCACUAGCUGACUGCUCUCCACCCAUUUCAGAGUAAAAACCAAAGUCCUUAUUGUGAUUUAUACCGUAUCUUGCUCAAGACUUCAUCUUGGACUGCAUCCUUGGUUAGUUUCCUCCUGUCACUCUGUUCCCAUCACACCACCUCCUCCUUCCUCCUUGAACACGUUUGUAGGAUGAUUCAGCAGUAUGUUUUCCUGCCCUCCUUGGAGAAGCCCUGAACAUGUAGAGAUCAAAAUACAGGAGCCGAGUUGCUGCAGACUGAGAAGUUAAGAGUUUUCUGCCUCAUGGUGUAAAAAGUUGUCUUCUGCAAAGAUUUUCAGAUAGCCACAUGUAGUCACUUAAAAGAAUUCAGCUAUUGGCUAACUAAAAUAGAGAACUAAUCAUUUCAAUAGUGCACUUUACUUGGGCAGUGUAUUAUGCCCUAGGCAAAGGAUGCCCCAGUCCUGACACCCCUGAAAAGAAUGUCUGGUUUUAAAAGGUUUCCCAACUACUCACUGAAAACAGUGAACUUUUUAUUGUGCAUGUGUCCAGGCAAGAUGGUUUCCUUGAGGAAAAAAGUGAGGGACUGACAGCUGCAGAGAAACAUUAAUGAUCAAAAAUUAAAAGAAUGAAAAAAAAUCUUUCUAUAGAAUUGCACACACAGUAUACAUUUUGGCUACUUGAGAGAUUCCCAAGGCCAAUGUGAACAUCACUGGUUCGCAAUAAGAACUGGACCCUGUAAUGGAAAGAAGAAACAGCAAGAAGUGGCCGUCAUAAAAUGAGCAGGCCCUUGGAAGUGGCAGUAACGGGGCAGAGGCCCAAGGCUGGAGAUGAAUAGGAGGGUCACUCUGGUGGACUGGAGAAGCAGUUCGUCUCCUAUCUGGUUUUAAAUUUCCCUUUCUGUAUUGCAUUUUCUU